GCCUGGCUGACUCAGACGGUGGAGCAUGAGACUCUUGAUCUCAGGGUUGUGAGUUUGAGCCCCACUCUGGGUA
rnacentral:tRNA from 1 species